CCUACGGGAGGCAGCAGUGGGGGAUAUUGCACAAUGGGGGGAACCCUGAUGCAGCGACGCCGCGUGGGUGAAGAAGCGCCUCGGCGCGUAAAGCCCUGUCAGCAGGGAAGAAAAUGACGGUACCUGAAGAAGAAGCCCCGGCUAACUACGUGCCAGCAGCCGCGGUAAUACGUAGGGGGCAAGCGUUAUCCGGAUUUACUGGGUGUAACGGGGGCGCAGACGGCGAUGCAAGCCAGGAGUGAAAGCCCGGGGCCCAACCCCGGGACUGCGCUUGGAACUGCGUGGCUGGAGUGCAGGAGGGGCAGGCGGAAUUCCUGGUGUAGCGGUGAAAUGCGUAGAUAUCAGGAGGAACACCGGUGGCGAAGGCGGCCUGCUGGACUGCAACUGACGUUGAGGCCCGAAAGCGUGGGGAGCAAACAGGAUUAGAUACCCUGGUAGUC
rnacentral:rRNA from 1 species